rnacentral:hammerhead_ribozyme from 1 species
GUACUGAUGAAGAGUCCCAAAAUAGGACGAAGCGGCCGUCCAGUGC